AUGGCAAGCAUACUAGAUUAUCUUGUCAAAUCAUGUGCCAAGAAGUUGGAAGCUAUCAUUACGGAUGAGGCAGUUCUGAUUCUAGGAGUACAAGAAGACCUCAAACAAAUGCAGCGAACAAUGACCCAGAUACAAUGCUUUCUCGAUGAUGCCGAACAAAGGGGAACACAAGAGUCAGCAGUUAAUAACUGGCUUGGUGAGCUGAGAGGUGCUAUGUAUUAUGCCGACGAUAUUGUCGACUUGGCGAGAUCUGAAGGCGGAAAGCUUCUACUGGAAUGGGAUCCUUCAUCGUCAUCAAGAAAGGCAACUACAUGCAGUGGCCUUCCGUUUCUCAAUUGCAUCUCUCCUAUUCAGAAGCGUCACAAGAUUGGUGUUCAAAUCCGGGACUUCAAUACUCAACUUGACAAGAUUUCAAACUUGGGUGAAAGAUUUCUCAAGCUUGCAAAUAUGCAGCCUAAACCACAAGUUCUGACUGUGAAGCAUAUAAGAACUAGCCACCUUGUGGAGCCUAAUCUUGUGGGAAAGGAAACUUUACACGCUUGCAAAAGUUUGGUUGAACUGGUUAUUGCACACAAGGGAAAGAAGCCAUACAAGGUUGGUAUUGUUGGAACAGGAGGGAUUGGGAAGACAACUCUAGCCCAAAAAGUAUAUAAUGACCGAGAAUUAAAAGGAACCUUUAGCAACCAAGCAUGGAUAUGUGUUUCUCAGGAGUACUCUGAAAUAUCUCUUUUGAAGGAAGUCCUGCGGAAUUUUGGGGUACCCCAUGAGCAAGAUGAAACUGUGGGAGAGCUCAGCAGCAAGCUUGCAGUCGCCAUCACAGAUAAAAGUUUCUUCAUUGUGUUGGACGAUGUUUGGCAGCCUGCGGUCUGGACCAAUUUACUGAGAACUCCAUUACAUGCUGCUGCAACAGGAGUAAUUCUAGUGACCACUCGGCAUGAUACAGUUGCACAUGCAAUUGGCGUAGAAGAUGUGCAUCGAGUUGAAUUGAUGUCAGCAGAUAUAGGGUGGGAGCUGCUUUGGAAGAGUAUGAACAUUGAUGAAGAAAGAGAUGUGGAAAGCCUUCGGAAUAUAGGGGUAGAAAUUGUCCAUAAAUGUGGCAGACUUCCCCUCGCAAUCAAGGUUACUGCUAGUAUUCUAGCAACUAAAGAGAAAAGUGAGAGAGAAUGGAGAAAGGUUGCAAAAAGAAGUGCUUGGUCUAGGGGUAAUCUUCCUACUGAGCUCAGAGGUGCCCUGUAUUUGAGUUAUGAUGAUCUACCACGGUAUCUGAAGCAAUGUUUCCUCUAUGUAGCCUCAUAUCCAGAAGAUUGCCGCAUGAGUCGUGAUGAUCUUAUCAGGUUCUGGGUAGCUGAAGGUUAUGUGGAGGAGCAUGAAGAACAACUUCAAGAAGAUACAGCCGAAGAAUAUUACUAUGAGUUGAUACAUAGGAACCUCCUACAACCAGACCAUUUCUAUGCAGACCGUAGUUGGUGCAAGAUGCAUGAUCUUUUAAGGCAGCUUGCUCAACAUAUAUCUGGAGAAGAAAGUUUUUGUGGAGAUCCACAAUCACUGGGGCCUACAACUUUGUCCAAGCUAAGACAUGUUUCAGUCGUCACUAACAAGGAUUAUGUAGCACUGCCCAAUAUGGACAAAGUGAUGAUCAGAGCAAGGACACUGUUGAUUUUUUCCAUCAAGAGAUCAAGUGUUGAGAAUACAAUUUUCAGGAGACUUUCAUGCAUUCGUGUUUUAGAUCUGACUAAUUCAUCGAUUCAAAGCAUUCCAGAUAGCAUUGGAAGUUUGAUCCAUCUAAGACUGCUUGAUAUUAAUGAUACAAACACAUCUUAUCUUUCGGAGUCCAUCGGUUCCCUCAUGAACCUUCAGACACUGAACCUGGAAAGGUGCAAAGCUCUGCACAGUCUUCCUUUGGCGAUCACUGAAUUGUGCAAUCUAAGGCGCCUUGGUCUGACUAGUACUCCAAUAAAUCAGGUUCCAAAAGGUAUUGGCAGAUUAGAGUUCCUCAAUGAUUUAGGAGGAUUUCCUAUUAGUGGUGGAAGUGACAAUGGAAAAACACAAGAUGGAUGGAAGUUGGAAGAGUUGGAACAUCUCUCACAGCUAAGGCAGCUUGCUAUGAUUAACUUGGAAAGAGCAACUCCUCGUACUAGACAUUCAUUGCUAGCAGACAAGAAAUACCUCAAACGUUUGAGACUAUAUUGCAGAGUUACAUAUGAACCAGAUACAGAAGAUGUUGAAAAUAUUGAGAAGGUCUUUGAGCAGCUAAGCCCUUCACACAACCUAGAAUAUCUAGUCAUUGAUGGAUUCUUUGGCCGGCGGUAUCCCACAUGGCUUGGUACCACCCAUGUGUCGUCACUUGUAUACUUGACACUCAGAGAUUGCAAUUCAUGUGUACAUCUUCCAUCAAUCGGGCAGCUGCCCAGCUUGAGAUAUCUGAAAAUUCAUGGAGCAGCAGCAGUUACAAAGAUUGGACCCGAAUUUGUUAGCUGCAGGGGGGCUAAUCCCACAUCCACGGAUGCAGUUGUUGCUUUCCCCAAGCUUGAAACAUUGAGAAUUCAGGAUAUGCCCAGCUGGGAGGAAUGGUCCUUUGUUGAAGAAGGGGAAGAGGAUGGAUAUGUUGAGAUGCGAAAGGGGGGAGCCUUGUCUCCAAAGAUGCAGAUGCUGCCAUGCUUAAAAUUGCUGAUACUUGAAGGCUGCCCCAAGCUGAGAGCUCUCCCGCAACAGCUUGGACAGGAGGCAACCAGCUUGAAAUCCCUCUAUUUAAAAGGAGCAAGCUGCUUGAAGGUUUUGGAGGACUUCCCGUUCCUCUCUGAGAUGCUUGUGAUCGCUGGAUGCCAAGUCCUGGAGAGGGUUUCAAACCUUACUAAACUGAGAGAGCUCCGUGUGACAGGUUCUCCAAACUUGAACCUAAAGUUUGUUGAGGGAUUGCGUUUGCAGCAGCUGUGGCUGGAUGCACAACAUCUCUACCCCGUUGGCGCCGGGGCUUCAAGAGCAGCAGAGGAAACUUAA
rnacentral:rRNA from 1 species